rnacentral:tRNA from 1 species
GCAGUGGUGGUUCAGGGGCAGAAUUCUGGCCUUCCAUGCAGGAGGCUUAAGUUCAAUUCCUGGCCAAUGCG